rnacentral:rRNA from 1 species
GGGCCCGCACAAGCGGUGGAGCAUGUGGUUUAAUUCGAUGCAACGCGAAGAACCUUACCUGGUCUUGACAUACACAGAAUCUUGUAGAGAUACGAGAGUGCCUUCGGGAAUUGUGAUACAGGUGCUGCAUGGCUGUCGUCAGCUCGUGUCGUGAGAUGUUGGGUUAAGUCCCGCAACGAGCGCAACCCUUGUCCCUUAGUUACCAGCGGGUUAAGCCGGGAACUCUAAGGAUACUGCCAGUGACAAACUGGAGGAAGGCGGGGACGACGUCAAGUCAUCAUGGCCCUUACGACCAGGGCUACACACGUGCUACAAUGGUAGGUACAGAGGGCAGCUACACAGCGGUGAAUACGUUCCCGGGCCUUGUACACACCGCCCGUCACACCAUGGAAGUUGGCCACGCCCGAAGCCGUUACUCCAACCCUUG